AUGACUUAUGGAAUUAUUUUAUUCACGGCAGGAAGCUGUAAGGUUACUGAGUUCCUACUUUCAAAAGGAGUACCUGUUGACAUACACUAUGGCUAUGGUACACCACUCCAUCUAGCUGCUACCAAUGAACAAGAUAAAAUAGUGAAGAUUUUGUUGGAACACCAUGCAGAUGCUAACACCAGUGUCACCAGUUUGGGUUCUGCGUUGAUGGGUGCUCUUUUAUGCCGUUCAUUGAAGUGCAUGAAGCUGCUGAUUAAGGGUGGUGCUGAUGUCAAUCGGAUGACCUCACUUCUGAUGACUCCGUUAGUGUUCACUGCAGGGCGCAAAGACUACACCAACUUUAUGCAAUUUCUGUUAAAGGCAGGAGCGGAUCCUAAUAUUCCUGAUGGUUUUGGUAGGUUACCAAUAGAGCAUGCUGCUAGACGUGACUGUAUGGAACAAGUUGAAAUGCUGUUUCCUUUGACUUCCGCAAUUCCAUCUAUCCCAAACUGGAGUAUAGAUGGAAUCAUCUCAUAUGAAAAAUUUGAAAGUGCAAAGCCACUGGAUCAGAGGCACCUUGAGCGAGCAAAAGCUAUAUUCAAGUCACAGGCAGAUUAUGCAUUCAGGCUGAAGGACAAGUUCGCAUCAAAAUCAUAUGAUCUGGCAAUAGAUGCCGCACCGAGUGCAACAUUGUACGCAAACAGGAGUCUUUGUAAACUGAUGUUGGACGAUGGUGAAGGUGCUCUGUCAGACGCUCUCAGCUGCAGAAUGCUGCGACCUAACUGGGCAAAAGCUUGCUACCGUCAGGCUGCAGCUCACAUGCUUCUCAAAGAGUAUAAGCAAGCUUGUGACGCUCUCCUGGACGCUCAAAAAUUAGAUCCUGGAAACAUAGAGGCGGAGAGAGAGCUACGGAAAGCCAGGGAAUUAAUGAAAGCUCCUGGUGAAGCUGACAAGUGA
rnacentral:rRNA from 1 species